GUCCAUAUCAACCAUAUCUAACUACUACAUUAUUCAAAACACCAAGGUAAAGUCCAUAUCAAACAUUAUCAACUAUAUCUAACUACUACAUUAUUCAAAACACCAAGGUAAAGUCCAUAUCAAACAUUAUCAACUAUAUCUAACUACUACAUUAUUCAAAACACCAAGGUAAAGUCCAUAUCAAACAUUAUCAACUAUAUCUAACUACUACAUUAUUCAAAACACCAAGGUAAAGUCCAUAUCAAACAUUAUCAACUAUAUCUAACUACUACAUUAUUCAAAACACCAAGGUAAAGUCCAUAUCA